UAGGAAUCUUGCGCAAUGGGCGAAAGCCUGACGCAGCAACGCCGCGUGGGGGAAGAAGGCCUUCGGGUUGUAAACCCCUUUCAGUGGGGACGAAAAUGACGGUACCCACAGAAGAAGCCCCGGCCAACUACGUGCCAGCAGCCGCGGUGACACGUAGGGGGCAAGCGUUGUCCGGAUUUAUUGGGCGUAAAGGGCUCGUAGGCGGUUCGGCAAGUCGGGUGUGAAACCUCCAGGCUCAACCUGGAGCCGCCACCCGAAACUGCUGUGACUUGAGUCCGGUAGGGGAGCAUGGAAUUCCUGGUGUAGCGGUGGAAUGCGCAGAUAUCAGGAGGAACACCAGUGGCGAAGGCGAUGCUCUGGGCCGGUACUGACGCUGAGUAGCGAAAGCAUGGGGAGCGAAC
rnacentral:rRNA from 1 species